CGAUUAAAGUGGUACGUGAGUUGGGUUCAGAACGUCGUGAGACAGUUCGGUUUCUAUCCUCCGCAAGUGUUGGAAAUUUGAGGGAACCUGGCUCAAGUACGAGAGGACCGAGCUGGACAUACCUCUGGUGCACCAGUUGUCACGCCAGUGGCAUGGCUGGAUAGCUACGUAUGGACGAGAUAACCACUGAAAGCAUCUAAGUGGGAAACUCAUCCCAAAACUAAAUUUCCCUAUAGGGUUGUAAUAGACUAUUACAUUGAUAGGCUAGAUGUGUAAGCAUGGUAACAUGUUCAGCUAACUAGUACUAAU
rnacentral:rRNA from 1 species